AUUGAACGCUGGCGGCAGGCCUAACACAUGCAAGUCGAACGAGAGGCGGACGGGUGAGUAAUGUCUGGGAAACUGCCCGCUGGGGGGGGAUAACUCCUGGAAACGGUAGCUCAUACCGCGUAUCAUCGCAUGUGCCCAGAUGGGGUUAGCUAUUAGGUGGGGUAACGGCUCACCUAGGCGACGAUCCCUAGCUGGUCUGAGAGGAUGACCAGCGACACUGGAACUGAGACACGGUCCAGACUCCGACGGGAGAGAGCAGUGGGGAAUAUUGCACAAUGGGAGCAAGCCUGAUGCAGCCAUGCCGCGUGUAUGAAGAAGGCCUUCGGGUUGUAAAGUACUUUCAGCGAGGAGGCGUUACUCGCAGAAGAAGCACCGGCUAACUCCGUGCCAGCAGCCGCGGUAAUUG
rnacentral:rRNA from 1 species